rnacentral:rRNA from 1 species
UACGGAGGGUGCAAGCGUUAUCCGGAUUUACUGGGUUUAAAGGGUGCGUAGGUGGGUUGGUAAGUCAGUGGUGAAAUACUUUCGCUUAACGAAGGAACUGCCAUUGAUGCUAUCAAUCUUGAAUGUAGUGGAGGUAGGCGGAAUGCGUCAUGUAGCGGUGAAAUGCUUAGAUAUGACGCAGAACACCAAUUGCGAAGGCAGCUUGCUACACUACUAUUGACACUGAGGCACGAAAGCGUGGGGAUCAAA